CCUGCCGGCGACCGGCGCACGGGUGAGUAACACGUAUGCGACCGUGACCCCCCGCAGGGGGAUAACCGGGAGAAAUCCCGACUAAUACCGCGUAACGCCGCGGACCUGCAUGGGUCUGCGGCCAAAGGAAGCGAUUCCGGCGGGGGAUGGGCAUGCGGCGCAUUAGCUAGUCGGCGGGUAACGGCCCACCGAGGCGACGAUGCGUAGGGGUUCUGAGAGGAAGGUCCCCCACACUGGUACUGAGACACGGACCAGACUCCUACGGGAGGCAGCAG
rnacentral:rRNA from 1 species